CCUAGGCUGGGUCUCACCCUUGGUAAGCCACCAGGCCCAGGAUAAAAGGGCUCCAGUGUUGGGCUCUUCAGUGCUCAGCUCUGUUGGUGACAGUUCCCACCCCUCCACUGACCAGGUUUACUGACUUCCUCUGCAAGAUGUCCUGCCAGCAAAGCCAGCAGCAGUGCCAGCCCCCUCCCAAGUGCCCCACCCCUAAGUUUCCUCUUCCCAAAUGUCCUGCCAAGUGUCCCCCCAAGUGCCCACCCCCAUGUCCUCCCCCAGUCUCCUCCUGCUGCGGCUCCAGCUCCGGGGACUGCUGCAGCUCAGGGUGUGGGGGCUGCUGCCUGAGCCACCACAGGCGCCGCAGGUCCCAUUGCCACAGACCCCAGAGCUCCAGCUUCUGUGGUGGUGGCGGUGGCCAGCACUCUGGGGACUCCAGCUGCUGCCACGAGUCUGAGGGCUCUGGCUGCUGCUCUGGGGGCUGCUGCUGAUCUCGCCCAUAAGGACUUGUGACAAGCAGAGUUGGAACCAAAGUGCUGAAUGCCCGCUCCAGUCUGCUGCUCACUAUCCUCUCCCUCUGUGCCCUGCAGACUGAGCUGCUGAGAUCUUCCCAUGGAAACAUCUGCAUUUUCCCUAAAUAUUUCUGGCCUCCUCAUCUGAGUUACAAAAUAAAAAAAACCUUCCCCACUGA